rnacentral:rRNA from 1 species
GAUGAACGCUGGCGGCAUGCCUUACACAUGCAAGUCGAACGGCAGCACGGGAGCUUGCUCCUGGUGGCGAGUGGCGAACGGGUGAGUAAUACAUCGGAACGUACCCAGUAGUGGGGGAUAACGCACCGAAAGGUGCGCUAAUACCGCAUACGACCUAAGGGUGAAAGCGGGGGACCGUAAGGCCUCGCGCUAUUGGAGCGGCCGAUGUCUGAUUAGCUAGUUGGCGGGGUAAAAGCCCACCAAGGCGACGAUCAGUAGCUGGUCUGAGAGGACGAUCAGCCAGACUGGGACUGAGACACGGCCCAGACUCCGACGGGAGGCAGCAGUGGGGAAUUUUGGACAAUGGGGGCAACCCUGAUCCAGCAAUGCCGCGUGUGCGAAGAAGGCCUUCGGGUUGUAAAGCACUUUUGUCAGGGAAGAAAUCUUUUGGGCGAAUACCCCGGAAGGAUGACGGUACCUGAAGAAUAAGCACCGGCUAACUACGUGCCAGCAGCCGCAGUAA